ACUCCACUAGCACAAUUGGCAGUUGCGUCGGGUUUUGGUUCCGAAUGUUUCAGGUUCGAAUCCUGAGUGGAGUGC
rnacentral:tRNA from 1 species